UACAGAGGUCUCAAGCGUUGUUCGGAUUCAUUGGGCGUAAAGGGUGCGUAGGCGGCGCGGUAAGUCGGGUGUGAAAUCUUGGAGCUUAACUCCGAAACUGCAUUCGAUACUGCCGUGCUUGAGGACUGGAGAGGAGACUGGAAUUUACGGUGUAGCGGUGAAAUGCGCAGAUAUCAGGAGGAACACCCGUGGCGAAAGCGGCUCUCUGGGACGGUACUGACGCUGAGGCGCGAAAGCGUGGGGAGCAAACAGG
rnacentral:rRNA from 1 species